GAAACAGAGUCACACAUCUGAUCCACGUGCAAAAUGACUCAAGGAGAUGGAGAGAGAAACUGCUCGGUAACAUUAAAUACAAACCAAACUUUAAUAUGAGAGUGCAGUGUAUUGGGCUAAAUUCUGCUUUGGUGUCACGCCUGAGUGUCUCCACGUGACAGAUGAACAGAUGGAGCGCUUUGUUUCGAGUCUCCAGAAAGAAACGCAGCCCUCCACCAACCCAAGGCAGAAUAAAAGAAUCUAGCAUGUGUCUGCCAGAUGGGAGGGGUAAAAGGCUCUGCAUAGCCUUGUCCCCUCAGAAAGCAGUAAGGCCCAGAUAUUUUUGUGGAAGCAAGAGGCCCCCCAGCAGGUCCAGGAAUCGGAGUCCAUGGAGCUCUCUUCAUUGCCUUGCUCUGGUCAGGGGAGGAGCCAUCUGUGGAGUUUUGUCUGAUCUUCUGCUUGGCCAGGUGAAGAGUGACCAGCUUGCCAGCCAGAUUUUUGGAAGGGGCUGUGAACAGCAGUAUUGCCAAACCCAACUGAAAAUACUCAGAAAUCAAGAGAGUCUGACUCCUCCCCACCUAGAUCAAGAGUAGCUCAAAUCUCAGGAGGCUUAAAAAAAAAGUUGGGUUGUAUUUGCCUUUCUGUUGCACUUGCCUCAGGUUUUCAAACUUUUUUUUCUGCAACCACAAGGGCUGAAAACAUAUUUUUAAAAGUGAAAUCUGAAAUUCUUAGGUAAUCACUGGAUCUCAGAUUCUGGGACUUUAAGAAAAACACCAAAUACCACAGGAUGCAUCACUGCAGCACAAUAUCUUAUGACUCUGGACAAGGACAUCAGAACUGUUUGACAGUUCAGGGUUUUUCACCUGUAUUCUGGAAGUCCAUAUAUACAGCUCAUGGUGUUCUCCAGAUUGGAGAAUCUGCAAUGACCAGAGAUCAGUUUUUGAAAAAAUUGUCAUUUUAAAUAUUUAAAUGAGUAAUGAAAUCCUUGUAGGAUCCCCUGCAUUUUUCAGUUUCAUAUUAAGUUUAGUUUGCUUGUGUUCAUGUGUUCAAAUUUCUGAGCAUGGCAGAAUUUUGGAUUGAAAAAGAAUAAUUAUUGUGGAGGAGUUCUUAGGGAGAAGAUGGAAGUCUUGGCAGUUAUAUAGGUGGAUUUGGGAUUUUUGCCAGCUGGGAAAGUGAGGGAGGGUUUGUAAGAAAAGCACAGUGGCUAUUUAUUAAAAUAAUCAUCAGUGAAAUAGUUAACAAGGUUGACCAUUAGAUUUGGAUGCCAUUGACCUGAAUGAGGAAAUGUAUACCUCUUGGAGCUAUUAUUUCAGGCUGUCUGCAAACUCGGCAAUCAUUGCUGUAUUGUUUUGCAUGUGAUUCACCUUUUAGGAAGGUUUUCUUUGCAACAAAGAGGUCUAGCAUUUAGAUAAACUUGGAUUUAGAAGCACACUUCUGUGGUAAGGAAUGGAUCUACUUCAAAUUUCUAUGGCCAUCAGAUUAAAGAACCUGCUUUUAAGGAAAUCUUAUUGCAUUGCUUCUUAUGUGCUUGCUAUAUAAGCUAAUGCUUUGCAUUGGAGAGCUCUGGGGAAUAGUGUAAACUGAUAGUGUUAAAACUAAAUACUGAGAUUUCAGUCCUCAGUGGUUUUUAGUCUCAUUGGUUUCUAGAUUCAUAGUGAACCUGAGUCUUCAACCAACCAAGUUUUUGUGUGCAUGCAUGUUUCUGACAGCCAUAUUUAUAAAAGUUAAGCGUGUGUGUGUGUUUCCAAAUAACGUAUGUUACAAUUUCCAUUUCUUGUUAUGCGACAGUCAAGGUUCUCAACACUGGUGUUAAGUAUCACGUGAAACUGAACAAGAAAAAUGCAGCUUUGCAUCAGAUAGUCAGGGAUAGUUUAUUUCCAGUGACAGUUUUGCUUGGGCAAACCACCCAACCUGCUAGCUCAGUUCCUUUCAACCAACAGGUUUAUCGGGUGCAAAUUACUUGAGGAGGAGCAAAGGAGAGCGGUGACUUAUUUCUUACAUCUCAAUCGUAUUUCCACCUAUGUUUCCUCAGGGGGAGGAAGGUAAGAGGGUGGCAGAAGACAGGGGAAAAGAGAUGCAGAAAGAUGAAGAGGGGAGAGAGAAAAAGGAGAGAAGGGAAAAGGAACCUACAUUUGAAAGUUCAGUUCACUGUGCAGUAGGAACUGUUACAAAAGUUUGUAUAAAAUCAGUGUUUGUCUGUCUGUAGCUUGUGUGUGUAUAUGUGCGUGCACUUGUAUAAAGAUGUCAUGAAGAUCACUAUCUAGUGCCAUGCAAAAAUAACAGCGAUUGUUGUAUUGCUUGUAAGUUUGUAGAUUCAGUAAAAUUAUUAUUAGGCAUUGUGUAUGGUGCCAUGUGCACAACUAAGAGGCCUAUAGCAGAGUUUAAGUGGAGAAUAAAAGAAAUGAAGAAGGAGGGAAAGUAUUGAAG
rnacentral:lncRNA from 1 species